GAGGAUGAUGAUAAAGAGGAGGAGGAUGAUGACGACGAAGAUGAUGAUGAUGAUUCUGAUGAUACAGAGUCUGAUGAAGAGGAAGGGGAGCCUGGAUCUGCUCCAGAAGGCGCAUAUGAUCCAGCCGACUAUGAUCAUCUUCCUGUAACAGCAGAGAUUAAAGAGCUGUUUCAGUACAUCACACGGUGAAUCUGCCCACAGCAGAUAUUGACUGUAGUUUGGCAGAGUAUGUCGACAUUAUUUGUGGGAGAUUGGACUAAGAACCGAAUUCACUAGCUCCAUGUCCUGUUCACACUCUACUCUGAAUUCAAAAAUUUGCAGCACUUUAAAUCUGUAGAAGGCCAGAAGUCUGACACGCCAUCUGCUUCACAUACAGCCACGGCUGAAUUAGAAAGACUCACUUUGGACUGAAUUGACUGUCAUGAUAUUUUGAGCAUGGUCUAUUUCUUACAUCCUGUUUUGUUGUUGUGUCAAGAGCUGUGUUUUGUUCUAUAAGCCCAUGUUUCUUUAUAUUGUAU